UUCAUUUCUUCUUCUUCGAUCCGGCUCCCUCCCAAGAACUCUCUGCUCUCUCCAAGGUGAUUUCGAAUCCUUCUUCAUUUCUCCCCGUACUCAUCGUUGCUCCUCUUCGUUUCUCGAUUUUUCUUCCCCUUUCUUAUUCUUCGUUUCUCCUUUCAGGAAUCGCUCCCCUGCCCGAUCUCUCUCCCAAACCUAAACCUAACCCUAACGCACCUGUGCGACGCCGAGGAAGAUUCGCACUCCAGCUAUCCACCAAGCGGCGCCAUCCUAGAGGAUACUUAUGUUACCUAGUUUUCAAUAUCAUUUGAUGGUUACCAUAUCUAAGUCCCCUUAAUCGAGUAAAGGUACUUCCCACGGGACUUAUGUUUUUGUAGUUAUUUUCUAACUUUC